GAACGCUGGCGGCGUGCUUAACACAUGCAAGUCGAGCGGAAAGGCCCUUCGGGGUACUCGAGCGGCGAACGGGUGAGUAACACGUGAGCAACCUGCCCUAGGCUUUGGGAUAACCCCGGGAAACCGGGGCUAAUACCGAAUAUGACCUCCGAUCGCAUGGUUGGUGGUGGAAAGUUUUUCGGCCUGGGAUGGGCUCGCGGCCUAUCAGCUUGUUGGUGGGGUGAUGGCCUACCAAGGCGACGACGGGUAGCCGGCCUGAGAGGGCGACCGGCCACACUGGGACUGAGACACGGCCCAGACUCCUACGGGAGGCAGCAGUGGGGAAUAUUGCACAAUGGGCGGAAGCCUGAUGCAGCGACGCCGCGUGAGGGAUGACGGCCUUCGGGUUGUAAACCUCUUUCAGCAGGGACGAAGCGUAAGUGACGGUACCUGCAGAAGAAGCGCCGGCCAACUACGUGCCAGCAGCCGCGGUAAGACGUAGGGCGCGAGCGUUGUCCGGAUUUAUUGGGCGUAAAGAGCUCGUAGGCGGC
rnacentral:rRNA from 1 species